rnacentral:lncRNA from 1 species
UCUUUCCCAUCUGGCGGCCGCGGCUCCUGUCCUGACCCUGACCCUCCCUCCCGAGGCUCAGCCGUCCCCCAACAACCCCCAGCCUUGUACUGAUGUCGGAUGCGAGAGCCUGUGCUUAAGUAAGAAUCAGGCCUUAUUGGAGACAUUCAAGCAAAGGUUGGACAACUACUUUUCCAGAACAGAAAGGAAACUCAUGCAUCAGAAAAGGUUAGAGCGUGAUGACUGAUAAGAUCUCCC